GGAGUCGGCCAGACAACCGCUGCGCGUCUCGCGUGGAGGAAAGUCCGGGCUCCAUAGGGCAAGGCGCCAGGUAACACCUGGGAGGCGUGAGCCUACGGAAAGUGCAACAGAGAGCAGACCGCCUAACCCCCUUCGGGGGAGGUAAGGGUGAAAGGGUGCGGUAAGAGCGCACCGCGCCGGUGGUAACACUCGGCGGCACGGCAAACCCCGCCUGGAGCAAGACCAAAUAGGGGAGCGAGCGGCGGUCUUCGGACCGUUUGCGCGUGCGGCCCGCACGUGACUCCCGGGUAGGUCGCUCGAGGUACGCGGUGACGUGUACCCCAGAUGAAUGGUUGUCCUCGACAGAACCCGGCUUAUCGGCUGACUCCAUAU
rnacentral:RNase_P_RNA from 1 species